CAGUAAGUCAAGGCCCUCCCUACAAUCCAGAUGGCCAGCCGAUGGGGGGCUUCGUCAUGGACGGCCAGCAGCACAUGGGAAUCAGACCACCUGGAGCGAUGGGUGGAAUGGGCAUGAACAUGGGCAUGGAAGGUCAGUGGCACUACAUGUAGCCCCGCCCCUCUCCCACCAAUCGCCACACAACGGGGAUAGCUGCACGGCCACCCGGGAGCUCACCCGUCUCACGGAGGUCCACCGAGCUCUGGAACUGGACUCCUCGACUUCCUGAUGCCGCCGCCGACCAGCAGCAACCCCCCGGUCCACCUCCCGAGACCCAACCACAUUUGAUUCGGCUGACGCGUGCAACGCGGAAACCCCGGCCUCCGAUCCUCGUCUAUUAUCCACCGACGGCGAUGAAAGAUGAAACUAUGCCCCGCCCCCCCCCCCCCCCCAUGUCCUCGACAGACCCCUGCUUCUUCUUCUCUGGUGGGCUCCAGACCUUCGCCCCCCUCCCCCUCACACGGAUUCCUCCAUUAACAAGUGAUCGCGGUUUGCGAUCGUGAGCGUUGACGACACGCGAUGGACGCCGUGUCCGAUGCCUUGACCUCCGGCGCCUGCGGCACCCGGUGAAAUAUUCUCGAGACUCUUUGGCGAACAGAAGAGACUUCCUGCGAAGAAGCGCGCCAACUCUUUUGGGACGAUGGAAUCGGACCGAGGAAGAAGCCAAUGUCUGUAUCCGACAGGACA